rnacentral:rRNA from 1 species
UACGUAGGGGGCAAGCGUUGUCCGGAUUUAUUGGGCGUAAAGCGCGUGUAGGCGGCUUUGCAAGUUGGGUGUGAAAUCCCUCGGCUCAACCGAGGAAGUGCGCCCAAAACUGCAUGGCUUGAGUCUCGGAGAGGAUGGCGGAAUUCCCCAAGUAGAGGUGAAAUUCGUAGAUAUGGGGAGGAACACCGGUGGCGAAGGCGGCCAUCUGGACGAAGACUGACGCUGAGACGCGAAAGCGUGGGGAGCAAACAGG